CAUAGCGGAGGAAAAGAAACCAACAGGGAUUGCCUCAGUAACGGCGAGUGAAGCGGCAACAGCUCAAAUUUGAAAUCUGGCUCCUUCGGGGCCCGAGUUGUAAUUUGCAGAGGAUGCGUCGGGUACGGGUGCCUUCCGAGUUCCCUGGAACGGGACGCCAUAGAGGGUGAGAGCCCCGUCUGGUAGGAUACCCAGCCCGUGUGACGCUCCCUCGACGAGUCGAGUAGUUUGGGAAUGCUGCUCUAACGGGAGGUAUACUCCUUCCAAGGCUAAAUACCGGCUGGAGACCGAUAGCGCACAAGUAGAGUGAUCGAAAGAUGAAAAGCACUUUGAAAAGAGAGUCAAACAGCACGUGAAAUUGUUAAAAGGGAAGCGCUCGCUACCAGACUUGGGUUCGGCGGUUCAACCGGGGCCACGCCCCGGGGCAUUCCGCCGGCCCAGGCCAGCAUCAGCUUUCCGUCGGGGGUAAAGGCGUCGGGAAUGUGGCUCCCCUUCGGGGGAGUGUUAUAGCCCGUCGUGUCAUACCCUUCGGGGGGCUGAGGUACGCGCUUCUGCAAGGAUGCUGGCGUAAUGGUAGCUAGUGACCCGUCUUGAAACACGGACCAAGGAGUCAACCUUAUGUGCGAGUGCCCGGGCGUAAAACCCCAGCGCGGAAUGAAAGUGAACGUAGGUGAGAGCUUCGGCGCAUCACCGACCGAUCCUGAUGUCCUCGGACGGAUUUGAGUGAGAGCAUAUAGGGUUGGACCCGAAAGAAGAUGAACUAUGCGUGUGUAGGGUGAAGCCAGAGGAAACUCUGGUGGAGGCUCGCAGCGGUUCUGACGUGCAAAUCGAUCGUCAAACAUGCGCAUGGGGGCGAAAGACUAAUCGAAUCUUCUGGUAGCUGGUUCC
rnacentral:rRNA from 1 species